GGUGGAGAAACGGAAUUAAAAGCCAAAUUCGGACCCGAACCAACAUUCGUCGUUGCUGCGUCGCGCCGUUGUGCUGUGGCUCGUUCCUUCGGACUCGGUCUGAUCAAGCCGGUUCUUAUCCCCUUCUGUCUUGCGCUGCUUCGGAAUCUUGACCCGUGGAGGUGCGAUUGUUCAACAUUGGUGAAGUUGUCAGUGUCAUGGCUCUCAGCAAUGUCUUCAUCCUCAUGAUGCAAUGUGGCUUGGAAUGCCCCUUCUUCUAUGAAAAGGUUUACGCACUAUUGCAACCUUCCAUCUUCAUUGCAGAACACCGACCGAAAUUUUAUGAAAUAAUCUUGCACUGAUCAGUCUACUAUAUUACUUGACUUUGUAUCAUUUCUCCAGGCAGUCCUGCGUCACAUCAAUUUUCAUGAAUAUGUGAUAUAUGUCUAUAUGGAACCUAGCAUUCUCUAAAUUGUUAUGGAGGCACAAGGUUUAGCAAUGAUCAAGGGUGUUUAAUUGGUGUUUGCUAUGAACACUGUUGAUGCAAUAUGUGAAACAUUGCUUUUCGCAACUUAGAUCACGUCAAGUCCUUUAGAUGGCUGAUAUGCAAGUUCAUGUUGGACUGGGCUUUAGCAGAGUCGGUAGAGCUUAACAAUGGAGCGGUUUGGACCUGUCCUGACAUGAAGCUGACAUUUUCUGGAUGCGUUAGUGGUUUCAUUGCUUUCUUAUGUUGACCUGUUGAUUGUGUGGAGAGACAUAUGAAUGUUUAAGACGAUGAACUUGAAAGUAGAGACAUUCUAUGCUGCCUUCAUGCUCUUCUGAACCUUUGGAUUGCUUUCUGACACUUUGCAAAUGAUUAACAGCAGCUGCUUGUUUCCUGCUUAAAAUCACCCCUCCUUCUAGCAUACUUGGCUGCUGCUUUUGCUAAGAAACUGAGUCAACCAGCACUCUCUGUGCUUCCAGCAGGGGCACUGGUUAUUGUUGUUCCUAUCCACAAUCUCUUUUGAUGGCAUCCUACAAUCAACUGUUUGGUGUAUAGGAUAUGUACUUGGGCUUUGCACUUGGGUUUAGUUUUUUGCUCUUCUUUUAAUUCUGGUUCCUUGAUACCCGUCUGGAUUUAUUUAUACUUUUUGCCCUAUAUAAAUCAUGCAGCUCAUGCACUUUGCUUUUUUCUCAAAUGUAAAACUCUGGAAACCUCUGCAAUACUCAAGUUUUGACAUGUAGAUUCACAUUUUAGAUUCCAUAAUUUUUUGUUAGCUAAACUUUUUCUUAUAAUAUUCUGAAAUUUGAACAAUGCUUAAGAUUUCUGAAGCAAACGAACAUGCUCUUAUUCUUUGAUCCGAUGUGUGUGCUAUGCAAUAAUGUAAUCUCACCAUCUUCGCAGUGAAUGUUGUUCUGCAAGUUCCCUGGGAUGUUAAUUCUGGAACUAUUUUUACCUCUUUGUAGGAUUCUUUUAUUCCAACCCCACUUCGCGGGGAAAUGGUUACACUUUGGUUUGUGGGAUUCUUGGCGUCAGUUGGAAGAUUUUCACUAAAUGCAUUUUAGUUUCCAGGGAAGAAGUAGAAAUUUAUUAUUUGACUUAUUAAAUUAGUAACACAGAAGUUUCAUUACAUUAUUUGAAACACUGACGAUUCACAUAUUGUUUUGAAAUGAAGUAUCCCUGGUUUUGGGUAAUGUAUUAGCUAAUUCACAAGCUUUUUAUCUAUGGAUUUCAUUUGAAAGAAAACAUUGUGAUUUAUAUUAUGGGAUACUCACUGUAAUUGAAAGAGGAUGCUGUGCGCCUCUCAACUUGCAUAAUUUGGCAAUUUGUGCAUUUCAAAUAUUGAUGUGGUUGUUGUCUGUUUAUAGGAAGAAAGUAAUGACUUAUUGAGGAUGUUGUUGCCUAGGUGAUGUCAUGAUGUAGGGUACAGUUAGAAUAGUGUUGCAUGCUGUUUGAGAACCCAAAGGAUUUGGAAAAAGCUUUCAUGUUUGUCAAAUAUUCCCAAAUAUGAUUUGUGGUGUUUUACUGGAUUGAAAGCUGAUAUAUCUGCGGCCCAUGCUUUGGAAAAAGCUUUCAUGCUUUUUUAUUUAUUAUUUAUUUAUUUAUUUAAUAUGGCAUUUCAGGCAUCUUCUUCAUGAUGCUUAUUUCUUCCCUCGUGUUCAUCAUUGAUGUAUAGACUAUCUCUAAAUAAUUGACUUAAAAGACAUUUUGUACUGUCUAGUGAGGAAGGAUGUAUUGUAUGGUUGGAGCUUAAUAAAUUUGUUUGAGCUGAACCUUUAGAAACAGAUUUGCCUUUAAUUUUGGUGAAAUGGUGGCUCUGUUAAUUUGGGUGACAUACUGAUGUAGAAGAAAGGAAGAGAUGUAGCCUUAAAAGUUACUAUGUUUUGUGAGGUUCUACCAGGAAUCUUUCAAGUACCUUUUGACCUUUAAUUUUAGUGGAAUGAUGCUUCUGUUCCACUGGGUGCCCUCUAUAUCUCACACACACAUUUGUAGAGAUGUUCAGGAAGAUGGUGUAUCUGAGGCCAAGGAUGAUCCGAAAAUGGAAGAGCAGAUAGUUGGCAAUAGAAAUGACUCAACUGGCAUGGAUUUGCCUAAGAAACCUGGUUUCGAUCUUUUCCAUGAUGGUAGUGGACUGUCCCAGUCAUUAACAUCAGAGGUUGACCUAAAAGCGAAAGCAUUAAUCUUCUGUAUAUAUUGCUGGUUAAUCUACUGCCCUUUCAUAUUUUCCUGAUGUGCCUCUUCAGCUUUCCUUUUGAAUAUUCAGAGUCAUUUGUGUGCUUGCGUUCUAAUUAUACAAACUGAGUAUCUGCUUUUCUGUUUAAUAUCUCUACGGGUACCGUCUACUGCCAAAAUAGCUUUGAAGAUAAAAUUGAUGUUCACUAAAUAGUGGAUUUCAUUUUUGAGGUUGCCACUUCCACUCAAUGCAUAUAAGGAGGAAAAAAAUGAAGCGUUGUCUUGAAGCAUGUGUCUAAUAAAAGAAUCCCAACCAGGAGUCUUUUACGAUCCCUCCUGCUCCUCCUCCUCCUCCUCCGGCCCCCCCGUGCUGUCGGCGAGAAUGGCACAGCUUCGUACUAUGGUCAAUGGACGGAGUGCUACGGCAAGGGCUCAUCCCAGUUCCCUGAGAGCAACCUGUUUGCGGCCGUGGCCGACAGACUAUGGGACGUGGGGCCGCGUGCGGCAGGGAGUAUUGAGUUGUGGUGCAUCAGCAAUGUGCAGUAUGGCCCUGGAGCCUGCAAACCCGGCGCCAGCAAUAUUCGGGUCAAGGCCGUCGACUAUGCCCUCUCGGUUGAGUCCUCCGCUGCGGCCCCCAGGCAGUCUGUAACCGACGCUGAAUUAUGAUGGGAUACCUCUAUAGUUGGUUAGUGGACCACUAGAUAAGUUUGUGGUAGAUAAGGACUUUCUUUUUUUCUUUCGAAGGUAGAUAAGGACUUUGAGUAGAUGUAAAUGUCUUCACGGAAGUUCUCAGGUCGUUUUCAGCAACAAUGGCAUUUUACCCUAGGUUCGUGCCUUCACUCUUGAAUGCACCUGUCAUUCAAUUCAUUGAAUUCAGUCAUUUUAAAGCCUUUACGAAUGUAAGGUGCAUUGGCCUCAUGAGGAAAGCUCUUGCGAAGUUCAAGAAGGAUCUCACUAAUUUUUCAAG